UACGGAGGAGGCAAGCGUUAUCCGGAUUUAUUGGGCGUAAAGCGUUCGCAGGUGGUUUUUCAAGUCUGCUGUUAAAGACAGUGGCUCAACUACUGAAAGGCAGUAGAUACUGAAAGACUAGAGUGCGGUAGGGGCAGAGGGAAUUCCAGGUGUAGCGGUGAAAUGCGUAGAUUUCUGGAAGAACAUCGGUGGCGAAAGCGCUCUGCUGGGCCGCAACUGACACUCAGGGACGAAAGCUAGGGGAGCGAAUGGG
rnacentral:rRNA from 1 species